rnacentral:rRNA from 1 species
UAGCGGCGAGUGAGCGGCAAGAGCUCAGAUUUGAAAUCGUGUUUCGGCACGAGUUGUAGAGUGUAGGCGGGAGUCUCUGUGGAGCGCGGUGUCCAAGUCCCUUGGAACAGGGUGCCUGAGAGGGUGAGAGCCCCGUAGGGUGCUGCGCGAAGCUUUUGAGGCCCUGCUGACGAGUCGAGUUGUUUGGGAAUGCAGCUCCAAGCGGGUGGUAAAUUCCAUCUAAGGCUAAAUAUUGGCGAGAGACCGAUAGCGAACAAGUACUGUGAAGGAAAGAUGAAAAGCACUUUGAAAAGAGAGUGAAACAGCACGUGAAAUUGUUGAAAGGGAAGGGUAUUGGGCUCGACAUGGGGGGUGCGCACCGCUGUCUCUUGUAGGCGGCGCUCUGGGCGCCCUCUGGGCCAGCAUCGGUUCCUGCUGCGGGAGAAGGGGCUCCGGAAAGUGGCUCUUCGGAGUGUUAUAGCCGGGGCCAGAUGCCGCGUGUGGGGACCGAGGACUGCGGCUUCUGUCUCGGAUGCUGGCAUAACGGCGCAAUACCGCCCGUCUUA